rnacentral:lncRNA from 10 species
GUGCGUGUGCAUAUUUCGUGUCUAUGUGCCAAAGUUAGGCUUCCUGACAUUGUUUCCUCUGGCUUCUCUUGGCACAGUGUCUUCCUGGUCUAUGAAGGCCUGCAACUGGCUGAUCUUGGUUAAAGGGAAACUGACCAGUGGUAUUUGGUGGAUACUGCUUGUCCUAAAGAUUCAGGAGGAAUAGAACUUUCUCCAGGAACCCAGGGACUUAUCCAGGGAUGACAAUCUAACUUUUUAGGGUCUGAUUGAAAGAUCUGCAUCCUUGUGGACAAGAACUUAACUCUACAGAGGAGAUUCCUCCUGCCACAGGAUUACACCUGGAAAGAUUUUAACAUUCUUUUCCUUUGUCAAGUCCCCAAAGGAUACAUUCCUGAUAGGGAAUCCUAGAGUUUAUUCUCCCUUGAAUGACUAAGGCCCUAGGCAAAGCUGAAGAGGAGUCUGGAUUCUGUGAGAAUGAACAAGGCAGCUGCUCGGAGUCGGCUGCUGAGGGGGCCAUCUGUUUAAGCAACGAGAAGUACGGAGCUAAAGAGGCACACGGUAUUCAAACAUGUGAUAACAUAGGAUGUGACUGUUUAAAUUCACCUGGCUUCGGUCAACAUUGACAGAAGGUGUACAUGACUCUACGGGAAUGGGGAAAUGGCAGCACCAGGGGCUGACUGAGCCCCAGUCCUGACUGUGACUGCUUUGGUAACAACAAGGUGUUUAGGAAGAACAGUCCCAGUCCUUUUCCAAAGGUCGCCUCCUGGUGUUUACUAAAGGAACUCUGAGUCUCAGCAGAAGCAGAAGUCCUACCAUUAGCUUGCAGAACCCUUCAGGAUGGGAAAGAAGACUUGGGCUUCAGUGACUCAGCCUGGAGCUGGGAACAGGCAGGCAGGGAUACAGAGUGGGUGUUCUUCUCCUACAGGAGGAGAGAUGCAUCCCUCAUGCCCAGAGAGGCUCUGGGGUCCCCGAAUCCAGAGGUAGUAGAAGAAGAGUCAAAACACACUCUCCUGAGAACACAUCUCAGGUGCAUGGAACACAAGACACGCUGCUUUGAUUAGGGUGCUCUCUUGUCCAUUUUGUUCUAUAAUCCACAAGAGAAGACCAUCUGCACAGCAGUGACAUGCUCUAGUUGACCAUGAUGAGCCUUUCCUAGGGAAACUAUUUUGAGUGGUAUAUCUUACAGGAGACUGCAAGGCUCAAUAGUACAGUCACCAGGAAAAUCUACAUGUAAAUAUGACACUUAUGAACCGGCAAUAAAAUAUGGUGAGUCUAAAGACCUUCCAUGUCAAAGUUCUUUUUCUUUUUUUUUUUUGACGGAGUUUCACUUUAGUUGCCCAGGCUGGAGUGCAGUGGUGUGAUCUUGGCUCACCACAACCUCCGCCUCUUGGGUUCAAGCCAUUCUCCUGCCUCAGCCUUCUGAGUAGCUGCAAUUACAGGCAUGUGCCACCACAUCUGGCUAAUUUUGUGUUUUUAGUAAAGAUGGGGUUUCUCCAUGUUGGUCAGGCUGGUCUUGAACUCCUGACCUCAGGUGAUCCACCCGCCUUGGC